rnacentral:rRNA from 1 species
UCGGGAAUUUUGGGCAAUGGGCGAAAGCCUGACCCAGCAACGCCGCGUGAAGGAUGAAGUAUUUCGGUAUGUAAACUUCGAAAGAAUAGGAAGAAUAAAUGACGGUACUAUUUAUAAGGUCCGGCUAACUACGUGCCAGCAGCCGCGGUAAUACGUAGGGACCAAGCGUUGUUCGGAUUUACUGGGCGUAAAGGGCGCGUAGGCGGCAAUUCAAGUCAUCUGUGAAAUCUCCGGGCUUAACUCGGAACGGUCAGAUGAUACUGCUUUGCUAGAGUGCAGAAGGGGCAAUCGGAAUUCUUGGUGUAGCGGUGAAAUGCGUAGAUAUCGGGAGGAACACCAGUGGCGAAGGCGGCUCUCUGGGCUCUACCUGACGCUGAGACGCGAAAGCGUGGGGAGCGAACCGGAUUAGAUACCCAUGUAGUCCCUGAGCGGGCUGGCAAGGCGCAU